rnacentral:tmRNA from 1 species
GGGGGUGAUUGGUUUCGACAUUGGCCGUUGAAGUGGGAGAAGCGAGCCGUGGUCUCCGGAGCCACGUAAAAGAGCCGGAAACACAAAAAUAAACGCCAAGCCUCAGCUUGUGCUUGCUGCUUAGUCAGCAACGGUCCUCCGUGCCCAGCCCUACGGUGCGGUCGGGAACGUCAUUCAGUAGGGCUCACCACCGCGACCUCUAACGGCGCGAGCGGGACACUUUAGUUAGAUACGGGUCUCCAUCGGCGUGAGCGGCGGAAGAGACCUCGACAACCUCCCGCUCACUGCGCUCGGAGAAGGACCAGGGAGAUGCCGAUGGACCGGGGUUCGAUUCCCCGCACCUCCACCA